UUUAAUCUAGUGAAAUAUCCAUUUGAGCCCAUAUGGUUUUUUAGGGGUCAGAUAUAUUGAAUUUUUUAGGUGGGGAUUGUUGUUGCCUUGUUGAAUUUUUUAGGUUGGAGUUGUUGUUGGAUUUAGAAUUUAUAUAGUUACUAGUUUAAAAAAAAUUAGUUUGAUGUUAUUGGUUUUUGAUGUUGGUGUUGUUACUAAUUUUUUAAUGGAUUUGUAAUGUUUUGAAUUUUUUAUAUUUGAAUGUGAAGUUUUGAAUGCUCUUCAAU
rnacentral:lncRNA from 1 species